UACGUAGGGACCAAGCGUUGUUCGGAUUUACUGGGCGUAAAGGGCGCGUAGGCGGCGCGGUAAGUCACUUGUGAAAUCUCUGAGCUUAACUCAGAACGGCCAAGUGAUACUGCAGUGCUAGAGUGUGGAAGGGGCAAUCGGAAUUCUUGGUGUAGCGGUGAAAUGCGUAGAUAUCAAGAGGAACACCUGAGGUGAAGACGGGUUGCUGGGCUGACACGUGACGCUGGAGGCGCGAAAGCCAGGGGAGCAAACGGGAUUAGA
rnacentral:rRNA from 1 species